rnacentral:rRNA from 1 species
AAUAGAUACCCUGGUAGUCCACGCCGUAAACGAUGAGUGCUAAGUGUUAGAGGGUUCCCGCCCUUUAGUGCUGCAGCUAACGCAUUAAGCACUCCGCCUGGGGAGUACGGCCGCAAGGCUGAAACUCAAAGGAAUUGACGGGGGCCCGCACAAGCGGUGGAGCAUGUGGUUUAAUUCGAAGCAACGCGAAGAACCUUACCAGGUCUUGACAUCCUCUGACCUCCCUGGAGACAGGGCCUUCCCCUUCGGGGGACAGAGUGACAGGUGGUGCAUGGUUGUCGUCAGCUCAUGUCGUGAGAUGUUGGGUUAAGUCCCGCAACGAGCGCAACCCUUGACCUUAGUUGCCAGCAUUCAGUUGGGCACUCUAAGGUGACUGCCGGUGACAAACCGGAGGAAGGUGGGGAUGACGUCAAAUCAUCAUGCCCCUUAUGACCUGGGCUACACACGUGCUACAAUGGAUGGUACAAAGGGCUGCGAGACCGCGAGGUUAAGCCAAUCCCAGAAACCAUUCCCAGUUCGGAUUGCAGGCUG